AUUGAACGCUGGCGGCAUGCCUUACACAUGCAAGUCGAACGGCAGCACGGGAGCUUGCUCCUGGUGGCGAGUGGCGAACGGGUGAGUAAUACAUCGGAACGUACCCUGAAGUGGGGGAUAACGUAGCGAAAGUUACGCUAAUACCGCAUAUUCUGUGAGCAGGAAAGAGGGGGAUCGCAAGACCUCUUGCUUUAGGAGCGGCCGAUGUCGGAUUAGCUAGUUGGUGAGGUAAAGGCUCACCAAGGCGACGAUCCGUAGCGGGUCUGAGAGGAUGAUCUGCCACACUGGGACUGAGACACGGCCCAGACUCCUACGGGAGGCAGCAGUGGGGAAUUUUGGACAAUGGGCGCAAGCCUGAUCCAGCCAUGCCGCGUGAGUGAGAA
rnacentral:rRNA from 1 species